CCUACGGGAGGCAGCAGUGAGGAAUAUUGGUCAAUGGCCGGAAGGCUGAACCAGCCAUGCCGCGUGAAGGUCAGUGCCCUAUGGGCGUUAAACUUCUUUUGUGCGGGAGCAAUAAUGGUCACGUGUGGCCAGACGAGAGUACCGUAAGAAUAAGCAUUGGCUUACUCCGUUUCAGCAGCCGCGGUUAUACGGGGGAUGCAAGCGUUAUCCGGAGUUAUUGGGGUUUAAGGGUGCGUAGGCUGUGAGGUAAGUCAGCGGGGAAAUGCCCCCGCUCAACGGGGUGAAGUGCCAUUGAUACUGCAUUGCUGGAGUGCGGAUGCGGUGGGAGGAAUGUGUGGUGUAGCGGUGAAAUGCAUAGAUAUCACACAGAACACCGAUUGCGAAGGCAUCUCACGAAUCCGCGAUUGACGCUGAUGCACGAAAGCGUGGGUAUCGAACAGGAUUAGAUACCCUGGUAGUC
rnacentral:rRNA from 1 species